rnacentral:rRNA from 1 species
AACGAACGCUGGCGGCAGGCUUAACACAUGCAAGUCGAACGCAUCGCAAGAUGAGUGGCAGACGGGUGAGUAACGCGUGGGAACAUACCCUUUUCUACGGAAUAGCUCUGGGAAACUGGAAUUAAUACCUUAUACGCCCUUCGGGGGAAAGAUUUAUCGGGGUUUGAUGAGCCCGCGUUGGAUUAGCUAGUUGGUGGGGUAAAGGCCUACCAAGGCGACGAUCCAUAGCUGGUCUGAGAGGAUGAUCAGCCACAUUGGGACUGAGACACGGCCCAAACUCCUACGGGAGGCAGCAGUGGGGAAUAUUGGACAAUGGGCGCAAGCCUGAUCCAGCCAUGCCGCGUGAGUGAUGAAGGCCCUAGGGUUGUAAAGCUCUUUCACCGGUGAAGAUAAUGACGGUAACCGGAGAAGAAGCCCCGGCUAACUUCGUGCCAGCCGCCGCAGUAAAAC